UACGUAGGGUGCAAGCGUUGUCCGGAAUUAUUGGGCGUAAAGAGCUCGUAGGCGGUCUGUCGCGUCGGCUGUGAAAACCCGGGGCUCAACCCCGGGCCUGCAGUCGAUACGGGCAGACUAGAGUGCGGUAGGGGAGACUGGAAUUCCUGGUGUAGCGGUGAAAUGCGCAGAUAUCAGGAGGAACACCGGUGGCGAAGGCGGGUCUCUGGGCCGUGACUGACGCUGAGGAGCGAAAGCGUGGGGAGCGAACAGG
rnacentral:rRNA from 1 species